GCCAGCGAGGUGGAGGGUGACUCCAAGAUUACCUUGCCUCAGCACACACGAUGCAAGCUCCAUUUCUUUGCCCACCCCCGCCCCUGCUUCUGGUAAGACGGAGAACUGGAGCAGAAGGAGGAGGGAACGUGUUUUCGGGCUAGAAAUACCUUAGUCUCCCUUACGAGGAUAAAUCACAAUCGAGGUACAAAAAUGACUCUUUGCCUUGCAGCGGAUAUGAGAGCACAUCAUCAGGGAAAGGGCGUAGUGGACCACCAGGUGAGGACUCUACAGAAAGGGCUUUCAGCAGCAACAAGAUGUGGCAGCAAGAAGCAGCAGCAGGACCAGGAAGAGCAGCCCAAUCCACAACCAGGGCACUUGCCACACAAGUUUGUCCUUUAAAGAUGACACCUCUUUCAUUUGGAUUUAUAAGGCUUUGCAGUCUAAUUUUUCUCAAAACUUGAUUAUACAUUUAAAGACAGGAGAAUCCCAGUAAGGAGAACUACAUAAGCAAAAGUGAAAAACUAGAAAUGCUAUCAUAGCUGUAAGAAGCAGUAAGUGCCUGAAUUCUCUUUCCAUGUGUUUAUUAUUACAGUUUGUCUGUGCUCUAAAUUUAAAAACUGUUUAUCCCUCCUCACAUCAGAAUGUGUCAAA